rnacentral:rRNA from 1 species
UGUGUAGGCGGUUGUUUAAGUUUGGUGUGAAAUCUCCCGGCUUAACUGGGAGGGUGCGCCGAAUACUGAAUGACUAGAGUGCGGGAGAGGAGAGUGGAAUUCCUGGUGUAGCGGUGAAAUGCGUAGAUAUCAGGAGGAACACCGGCGGUGUAGACGGCUCUCUGGACCGUAACUGACGCUGAGACACGAAAGCGUGGGUAGCAAACAGGAUUAGAUACCCUGGUAGUCCACGCCCUAAACGAUGCAUAUUUGGUGUGGGCAGUUCAUUCUGUCCGUGCCGGAGCUAACGCGUUAAAUAUGCCGCCUGGGGAGUACAGUCGCAAGGCUGAA